GUUGAACUUUUACUAAUACCGAACCCCUUAUCGACAAGAAGACCUUCUUCGAGAGCCAACAUUGGCUUAGAACUUCAAUGUGCUCAGAAUUUAAAGCCAUCUAAUGUAACGCGAACCUUGACGGACUACACUGAGAGAAGACUUUAUUAGCAUCUAAUCCUGUAAAUUCGUAUCCGCACACUACCACUGCAAAUGCCAUCUUAGAAAUAAACAGGAAAUAGGAAAGCUUCGAAAAAAAACUUAAAAUGAAUAUAGAAUUUUUAUCAAUUAAAUUAGAAUAAGUAAUAUAGAUUAGAAA